GAACGCUGGCGGCAGGCCUAACACAUGCAAGUCGAACGGUAGCACAGAGAGCUUGCUCUCGGGUGACGAGUGGCGGACGGGUGAGUAAUGUCUGGGAAACUGCCUGAUGGAGGGGGAUAACUACUGGAAACGGUAGCUAAUACCGCAUAACGUCGCAAGACCAAAGAGGGGGACCUUCGGGCCUCUUGCCAUCAGAUGUGCCCAGAUGGGAUUAGCUAGUAGGUGGGGUAANGGCUCACCUAGGCGACGAUCCCUAGCUGGUCUGAGAGGAUGACCAGCCACACUGGAACUGAGACACGGUCCAGACUCCUACGGGAGGCAGCAGUGGGGAAUAUUGCACAAUGGGCGCAAGCCUGAUGCAGCCAUGCCGCGUGUAUGAAGAAGGCCUUCGGGUUGUAAAGUACUUUCAGCGGGGAGGAAGGUGUUGUGGUUAAUAAC
rnacentral:rRNA from 1 species